GACGAACGCUGGCGGCGUGCCUAAUACAUGCAAGUUGAGCGCUGAAGGUUGGUACUUGUACCAACUGGAUGAGCAGCGAACGGGUGAGUAACGCGUGGGGAAUCUGCCUUUGAGCGGGGGACAACAUUUGGAAACGAAUGCUAAUACCGCAUAAAAACUUUAAACACAAGUUUUAAGUUUGAAAGAUGCAAUUGCAUCACUCAAAGAUGAUCCCGCGUUGUAUUAGCUAGUUGGUGAGGUAAAGGCUCACCAAGGCGAUGAUACAUAGCCGACCUGAGAGGGUGAUCGGCCACAUUGGGACUGAGAAGCGGCCCAAACUCCUACGGGAGGCAGCAGUAGGGAAUCUUCGGCAAUGGACGAAAGUCUGACCGAGCAACGCCGCGUGAGUGAAGAAGGUUUUCGGAUCGUAAAACUCUGUUGGUAGAGAAGAACGUUGGUGAGAGUGGAAAGCUCAUCAAGUGACGGUAACUACCCAGAAAGGGACGGCUAACUACGUG
rnacentral:rRNA from 1 species